rnacentral:rRNA from 1 species
AGAGUUUGAUCCUGGCUCAGGACGAACGCUGGCGGCGUGCUUAACACAUGCAAGUCGAGCGAUGAAACACCUUCGGGUGCGAAUUAGCGGCGAACGGGUGAGGAACACGUGAGAAAUCUGCCUUCAACACUGGGAUAACUCCGGGAAACCGGGGCUAAUACCGGAUAUGAAAUCUGCGGGCAUCCGCGGAUUUGGAAAGUUUUUCGGUUGAAGAUGAUCUCGCGGCCUAUCAGCUUGUUGGUGAGGUAAUGGCUCACCAAGGCGACGACGGGUAGCCGGCCUGAGAGGGCGACCGGCCACACUGGGACUGAGACACGGCCCAGACUCCUACGGGAGGCAGCAGUGGGGAAUAUUGGGCAAUGGAGGAAACUCUGACCCAGCGACGCCGCGUGCGGGAUGAAGGCCUUCGGGUUGUAAACCGCUUUCAGCAGGGAAGAAGCGAAAGUGACGGUACCUGCAGAAGAAGCACCGGCUAACUAUGUGCCAGCAGCCGCGGUAAUACAUAGGGUGCAAGCGUUGUCCGGAAUUAUUGGGCGUAAAGAGCUCGUAGGUGGUUCGUCACGUCGGAUGUGAAACUCUGGGGCUUAACCCCAGACCUGCAUUCGAUACGGGCGAGCUUGAGUAUGGUAGGGGAGUCUGGAAUUCCUGGUGUAGCGGUGGAAUGCGCAGAUAUCAGGAGGAACACCAAUGGCGAAGGCAGGACUCUGGGCCAUUACUGACACUGAGGAGCGAAAGCGUGGGGAGCGAACAGGAUUAGAUACCCUGGUAGUCCACGCCGUAAACGGUGGGCACUAGUUGUGGGGACCUUCCACGGUCUCUGCGACGCAGCUAACGCAUUAAGUAUCCCGCCUGGGGAGUACGAUCGCAAGAUUAAAACUCAAAGGAAUUGACGGGGCCCCGCACAAGCAGCGGAGCAUGCGG